rnacentral:ncRNA from 1 species
CGCAGGACUGCGGGAGAGACUGGUCCAGCGCCAGCGCCGAAGGAGCAACCGCCCCGGAAACUCUCAGGCAAACGGACCGCAGUCAGGUC